rnacentral:rRNA from 1 species
CAGUAGCCACGGUAAUACGUAGGUGGCAAGCGUUGUCCGGAAUUAUUGGGCGUAAAGGGCUCGCAGGCGGUUUCUUAAGUCUGAUGUGAGAGCCCCCGGCUCAACCGGGGAGGGUCAUUGGAAACUGGGAAACUUGAGUGCAGAAGAGGAGAGUGGAAUUCCACGUGUAGCGGUGAAAUGCGUAGAGAUGUGGAGGAACACCAGUGGCGAAGGCGACUCUCUGGUCUGUAACUGACGCUGAGGAGCGAAAGCGUGGGGAGCGAACAGGAUUAGAUACCCCCGUAGUCCCUGUCUCUUAUAC